CUCGUAGGCGGCCAACUAAGUCACACGUGAAAUCCCCAGGCUUAACCUGGGAACUGCGUGUGAUACUGGAUGGCUUGAAUUCGGGAGAGGGAUGCAGAAUUCCAGGUGUAGCGGUGAAAUGCGUAGAUAUCUGGAGGAAUACCGGUGGCGAAGGCGGCAUCCUGGACCGACAUUGACGCUGAGGAGCGAAAGCUAGGGGAGACGAAACG
rnacentral:rRNA from 1 species